rnacentral:lncRNA from 1 species
ACGAAUGCUGACAAACUACUCAUGAGAGAUCAAAAAUAAAUUUUAUACUCAUAAAAGUUUAACCCCGUUUAUCAAAAGUAUCCAGACAUUAAGAACGCAUUAGAGACGUUAAGUGAGGAUAUUGCAUAUUAUUUCUGUUUUUAUUAUUUUUUAGUUAUUUCUGAUUUUUUCCAGUUAGAUUAGAAUAAGAAAUUAGACUCUAUUCGUGCCAAACAUCUUUAUCCUUUCCACUCCUCUUCUUCGAUAAGAACUAUGCCCUAAAAGAGCUAAGAUCAUUGUCUACUUUGGUUGCCGAAAAAAGAUGUUGUAGAACGUCGACCAGCUUACGAAGCAUGCAUCUGCAGUCGUCAUCACUGUCGCUGGCGAUUCAGUGAGGUACAAACUGCGAACUGCUCUGUACUUUGUAAGAGAAAGAACAAGUUGUCUCUCUCUACAUUUUGAGGUAAGCCAUGUCUUCUUAUAAUGCUUCACGUUUGUCUCUUCUCGUCUUGCCUUAAUUACUUUUAUCUUCUUCUCCUUUGAUUUCAUAUCAAUUUUCAUAUUGGCCACCGUGGUACAAUCUUCUUUUUCGGCCCUAAUGUGAUUUGGACACCAUGAAUAAACAACAACGUUCAUUCUAUACUUUCACAAUCCUUUUCUCUAUUUUUUUUUUAAGUAUUUGGGGAGCCUUUAUCUAAUAGUCAGUUAUUUGUUCUUGUUGCCCAAUACAUGUUUUUGUUAUGCCCAAAAACCCACUAGAACCUUCAUGGAAAUUCAGAAUCCUAUGCGUUUGGUUUUGAGAACAAUAUAAGACACUCAAAACAAGAUAUAAAAGAUAGAGAUACAAAAAUCAAUAAUUUUAUAUUUUAUUUNNNNNNNNNNNNNNNNNNNNNNNNNNNNNNNNNNNNUUAUAUAUUAUUAACAAAUUAAAUUACUAAUUUAGUAGCACUAAAUACUUAUGCAAAAGACAAAAACUUAGAAUUUGACUUAUAAAAGAAAUAAACUUAAAAAACUUUAUUCAUAUGAUGAAUUUACCUGAUUUAAACCACAUUUAUAAUUAGAUUACCAGACUUUUAAUUAUACUAAGUUUCAAAAGAAAGAACUAAUAGGAUGAUCAUCAAUUUGUCAUAGUUGAAUUAAGUCCUAUAGAAAGAAUAAAGACCUUUUGACAAAGAUUUUUCUAUAUCAGAGCUCAGUUUCAAAAUCUCAAUUUACGAGAUAUAAAUACCAACUUAAAUUAUUUAAUCAUGAGUUAUUUCAUAAAUCGAUUGAAGGUUAAAAAAUAUUAUACAACUCACCCAUUUGAACAAAUUAAGGUAAUCCUGUACUCCUGUAUAUGUUCAAGUUCAUUGUUCAGGAAUAUUCACUUGAUCCUUAUAGGCAAAUUACGCCAGAAGCAAAAUUUUGGACAUAGAUUUUUUGGAAGGCAAGCAAAACCAGAAAGAUCUACUACUAGCUAAAAGUUAGGUCAGAAUAUUAAUUAAUUAAUAAAUUUUUGGAAGAUUAAUUGGAUUGGUGGGUGGUGGUUGGACUUUUGGCCAAACGCAUCUUUAUCUCAACGUGUCGAGUUUUGGUGGCAUAUCCUUGUUUUGUACAAAAAUUCAUUCACACACUUCAAUUUUGGAUAACUUAAUCACUUGGCUUCUCUUUCAAAGAAUCUUUCUCUCAACAAUGGGACCUAAAACCAUAUCUUUUCAUAAAUAUAUGCCUAUAUUAUUUAUCUCCCAUGUGAUUCGUGACAUGUAUUUAAUAUAUGAUAAUGUUCAUUAUUACUAACAUAUUUAAAAGAGAAUAUGUUCUAAGAUUUUUUAUAUCUUGCCAGGUAAUUUAAAUUGUAGUGAUUUGGUAUCGAUUAGCUUACUUGUUUGUUUAAAUAAGUAUAGGAAAUUCGAAUAUCAUUUUAUGUAAGUAAUAAUUUAUUGUCUGACAACAAAUCUUAAAUAUAGCUCAUAUUCCUGACAGAUUAGUGUUACUGACCUAAAUGACAAUUAGGUCCUUAAGAUUUUUUGAUUUCGAAC